rnacentral:rRNA from 1 species
AGGGUUUGAUCCUGGCUCAGAACGAACGCUGGCGGCGUGGUUUAGGCAUGCAAGUCGAACGAGAAAGUCCUCUUCGGAGGGCGAGUACAGUGGCGAAAGGGUGAGUAAUAUAUAGGUAACCUACCCCUCGAACCGGGAUAAUUCCUGGAAACGGGUCGUAAUACCGGACGGUCCUCUCCGGGUCGCAUGGCCUGAUUGGUAAAUGGUAGCUCUGCUUCUGUCGAGGGAGGGGCCUAUAUCCUAUUAGCUUGUUGGUGGGGUAACGGCCUACCAAGGCUUUGAUGGGUAGCCGGACUGAGAGGUUGGCCGGUCACACUGGGACUGAGACACUGCCCAGACUCCUACGGGAGGCUGCAGUCGAGAAUCUUCCGCAAUGGACGCAAGUCUGACGGGGCGACGCCGCGUGAACGAAGAAGGCCUUCGGGUUGUAAAGUUCUGUCAAGGGAAGAAAGUCCGGGGGUUAAUAGCCUUCCGGAUUGACGUUACCUCUGGAGGAAGCCCUGGCUAACUCCGUGCCAGCAGCCGCGGUAAUACGGAGAGGGCAAGCGUUGUUCGGAAUCACUGGGCAUAAAGCGCACGUAGGCGGGUCGGUAAGUCGGUGGUGAAAGCCCGGAGCUCAACUCCGGAACUGCUUCCGAAACUACCAGCCUGGAGGACGAGAGGGGAGAGUGGAACUUCUGGUGGAGCGGUGAAAUGCGUAGAGAUCAGAAGGAACACCGGUGGCGAAAGCGACUCUCUGGCUCGUUUCUGACGCUGAGGUGCGAAAGCUAGGGUAGCGAACGGGAUUAGAUACCCCGGUAGUCCUAGCCGUAAACGAUGAGCACUAGGUAGGGGGGAUCCCGAUGCCCUCCUUGUUGGAGCUAAUGUGUUAAGUGCACCGCCUGGGGAGUACAGUCGCAAGGCCGAAACUCAAAGGAAUUGACGGGGGCUCACACAAGCGGUGGAGCAUGUGGUUUAAUUCGAAGCAACGCGCAAAACCUUACCUGGGUUUGACAUGCACGGAUUAGUUCAUGGAAACAUGGGUGACGCCCGCAAGGGUGGAACGUGCACAGGUGCUGCAUGGCUGUCGUCAGCUCGUGUCGUGAGAUGUCGGGUUAAGUCCCUUAACGAGCGAAACCCUUGCCGUUAGUUGCCAGCGGGUAAUGCCGGGGACUCUAGCGGGACUGCCGUAGUUAAUACGGAGGAAGGCGGGGAUGACGUCAAGUCCUCAUGGCCUUUAUGCCCAGGGCUACACACGUGCUACAAUGGCCGGUACAGAGCGACGCAAUACCGCAAGGUGGAGCAAACCGCACAAAGCCGGUCUCAGUACGGAUUGGGGGCUGCAAUUCGCCCCCAUGAAGUUGGAAUCGCUAGUAAUCGCGGAUCAGCAUUGCCGCGGUGAAUAUGUUCCUGAGCCUUGUACACACCGCCCGUCAAGCCACGGAAGCCGGUAGUGCCCGAAGUCGCUGGCCCAACCCGCAAGGGAGGGAGGUGCCGACGGUAAGACCGGUGACUGGGACUAAGUGGUAACAAGGUAACCA